rnacentral:tRNA from 1 species
GUCCUCGUAGCUCAAUAGGAUAGAGCGGCUCUCUUCUAAGGAGUAGGUUACAGGUUCGAUUCCUGUCGAGGACA